GUUAGAAAUGAGCUCAAGAUAACAUCGGGUCAUUAAUAACAAUAAAAAAAAUGAUCUGGAGGGCCGGAUAGAAUUACCAGGAGGGCCGGAUCCGGCCCCUGGGCCUUGACUUUGACACGUGUCUUAGAGUAUUUUACAGAUCUAUUUAGAAAAGACUGUGACCCGAUUUAACCAUUGAAGCUCCUCUGAAUGGGAACACAGACAACAGCUGAGACCAACGGGACUGAACACUGACUUCAGAAUAGGUGUCAAACUUUCAUUUACAAACCUAUUCCACUUCAUUUGGUGCCUCUUUGCUUCACUGAGUUUCAUUCUCAGCUACUCAUCUUCUGAAUCGUGUGUCAAAGGUCAUGUGACACUCGUCAUGUGACUCGUCCAUUUCUGUCUGUUUACUGGUUUCAUUUAAAUACAAGAUCAGAAGUCUAAAAGGAAGUCGUUUUUAUCUUCACUCUGGCUGCAAGUUGUGAGAAGCCGAGAUGUUUAGCUGAGUCAGCGGUCCAGCAUCACUGCAUCUUCUUCGCUGCAUCCUAACCUCUUUAGACCCGGCGUCCACAUGUGUGGACAUCACAUUUUGGGUUAUAUUACCACAGUAGUUAAUUCUGCUUAACUGGGACUGUGACUACGUCUGUAGAGAGUUAGCUCAAAUCUUAGCUGAGGUCCAGAGGUGAAUCCAAAGCACCUGUGAAGGCAGCCAGAAAUCCUGUAGAAGGAUGGUGCUCCAGCUGUGAAUGAAUAGAUGUGUCAGGGGAACUGAACGGAGGGGAUCAAUGUCUUCAUUUAACACUUUUACAUAGUUGCCCAUGAUGCAGUUAAUACAUAGAGCUCCGUUCAGAUCUGUGACAGACCGGUCAGAGUGAAUCUGCUGCUUCGUUCCCAAAUUCAUCUGAAGGACUUGCUGAGUUUCUGAAGCGCUCAAAUGAGGAUCAUGGAAAUGUGUAAAUCUUCAAGUUCAGCUUUGGAGUGGAAGUUAGAAUGUAAAUGUGAAUAUUCUUAACAGCAUUAAGACAAACACUAAAGUACACGUCUGUUAGCAGUUGACAAAGCAGCAAUUUUAAUGGUGUUGAAUGGCUCCCUCAAGGUCCCCCUCCACCAGAACCCCCCCACCCCAGUUUAUUUAAAUACUAAAGAAUGAUGUCUGAGAUGAAAAAGCGCCUAACAGUGGAAGACGGUUUUAAAGUGACAGUGCAGGACAUCUCAUUUCAUUCAGGUCAGAACCUCAAGUCAAUGAGUCCACUCAUUGAUCAUCCAUUUUUAGCUCCCUAGCUGUAGCGCGCUAACGAGCGCUGCUGUAUCGAGCUAGCAAGCUCCACUGUAGCGAGCUAGGGAGCUCUGCUGUAGGGAGCUAGCAAGCUCCACUGUAGCAAGCUAGCAAGUUCCACUGUAGUGAGAUAGCAAUUUCCGCUGUAGCAUGCUAGGUAGCUCCACGGUUGCGAGCUAGCGAGCUCCGCUGUAUGAAGCUAACGAGCGCUGCUGUAUCGAGCUAGCAAGCUCCACUGUAGCAAGCUAGGGAGCUCUGCUGUCGAGAGUUAGCAAGUUCCACUGUAGCAAGCUAGCAAGUUCCACUGUAGCAUUGUAGCGAGCUAGGGAACUCCGUUGUAGUGAGCUUGCGAGUUCCACUGUAGUGAGAUAGCGAUUUCCGCUGUAAUAUGCUAGGUAGCUCCACUGUUUCGAGCUCCGCUGUAUCAAGCUAACGAGGUCUUCUGUAGGGAGCUAGCGAGUUCUGCUGUAGCAUUGUGGCGAGCUAGGGAACUCCGCUGUAGUGAGCUACAGAGUUCUGCUGUAGAGAGCUAGCAAGUUCCGCCGUAGCGAGCCCCACUGUAGCAUGCUAGGGAACUCUGCUGUUGCGAGCUAGAGAGCUCCACCAGAGCUGCUGGCUAGUGUAUCAAGCCAACACACUGAGUGUCCACUUAAGCUAAUGUGGACAAACCCACUUGGGGCCCACAUUUCUGCCCUCUUUUAAACCAUGUGGGCCCACUUGGCCUUGCUGGCUGGGCUCUGUGCAUUCCAGGUGCCUGAAAUGGUUAACUGGGUUUGACAUUAUUAAAUCUAAAUGAUGGAGUGUGAAGAUCUCCCAUUAUUUUUUUAGCACUGUGAGAAGUGAGCAUUUUACCGUCUUGUCAUCAUUUUGGGGGUGGAGUCAUUCACCCAAAAAUAAAUCCUUUUUUAUUGAGCAGAUGUGUCUGGACAUUUUGGUGAGUUUACAUUUACAAAACAUAAGUUUGUCACGUCAGCAUGUAACAGAUUGGCACCAUGACCAGGGAGGGGUGUACCCCCCACCCCCACUGCACAAGAGAUUCAGCAGGUUCUGAAAAUGAAUGGAUGGGAAGAAGUACAGUCUCCUUUGGAAAUUCUGAAAUAGUGUCAACAACAUGGAUGUUAACGGGCCUGAUGGAUGUCAGAACACCUCUGUCAUCGAGGUCCUCAAAGACACGAGUUCCGUCUGUAGCAGUGUGUCAGACCACUGUUCCUGACCCGGUUCUGUCUAAUGCCAGACGAGUGCGUCCUAAUUCCAUAUUCUCAGUCUCCCUGCCUGUGUGUCUGUUGUCAGUGCUGUAGAGUGCACUGCUGUCCCUUCUGUCCCGUCGUCUUCAUGUUGUCUCUUAAACUGCUGAUAGAACUAAAUAAAGGGAUUGGUCUCUGC